UAGGACUCCACUGUUGGGCCUUAUUGACCUCGCAAUAGGCCAGAUUUCUAGUGACUUACAUUGGUGCUGAAACUUGAAGCAGCUGCAGCACAAUGAAUUGGAAAUGGACAGCUCAUGGUGCUGAAAGAAGGCAAAUUCGAGUAUGCAUAAUUAAUGUUAACGUCAUCAUUUUAAUUAUGCUUUACUAACAACAAGAAGGCUUUGUGUUGGAGCCUAUUUCUCCCUAUGUAAUAAAUAAGAAGUAGGCCUACCUGUUUGACAGGCGAAAUUAGGCUAUGGGCUGCUAUAUCCAUAGAUUUGUAGGUCAGUUCCUCCACCCACCAUACACUUUAAAUAGUCUACCUCCAUGUCAGUGAAGGGCUGUUAAGUUAAAACUACGACUCGAGUUAAGGGAAUGCAAUAGGCCUACUUGUUAUUAAAGAACAAAAGAACAGGCAUACACCUUGGUAGCUUAAGAUUUUUAGGAAAAUCCGAUUUUAUAAAGUGAACAGCGUUUGGUCUGCGAUGCUUUAUGCUAGAAUCAAGCCAACAUACCCAGGGUAAACAUGACGCGGAUGCGUAUGGGGAUAGCAUCGUUUUGUUUCUUUGACAUUCAAAGGCUGCGCUAAAACCUUCUAUAGCCUAGGAGACAAACAAUUGACUUUGCUUGGGAAGUAAUCUAAUUCUGUCAUUAUCAAUUGAUUAAGCUAUUCACUUUCUGUACAGUAGAAGAUGUUUAAACCCAGACAGCUUUUAGGGAAACACGUGUGACCUUCUGUCGUUGGGUUAGUUAAACCACGGAAGAAAAGUAGCUUACAUUUUUCUGCGUCAUACUCUGUCUGGGGUGGAAUGGUUGGUUUAACUUUUGAAAGUACCACGCUCAGAUUCCUAAUGACAUAUCAUAUUUAAUUAUUUGCAAACAAGAACAGUUUCGUUGCAAUCAACAAGACACACUGAUUUGGCAUUGGAGACAUAUGAUACGAUUAACAAAUAUAGGUUUAUAUUUCUGUACAUUCUUAGCCUGUAAUUUCGGUAAUUUGUGUUGUAUUAAAAAAUAUUCUGCUAAUAUGUACAAUUAUGUAAAAAUGUUUAUAAAAGGCAACGUUUUCUCGGACCUACAAAUGCGAUCACUGAUAUAAUGCUUUCACUAUAAAGGAGAUCUUACCACCCCUACUGUUGUUCACCGUGGUCUGCGAACCCACAACCUUCUGGCCCGGAGCCCUGUGCGCUAUCAACAUUAAUGUGUUACCAUGUAAAUCUUACAGGACGAAGAACAGUUUCUAAAACUGCAUAUCUAAGGCUCUGGUCUGUCCAAGAAGUGAGGGUAAAUGAUCAGUCUUGUCAUGAUCUCUCUUGUCUGACUUUUCUAAAACAAAAAUAAAAACCUAAAGCAAACAGCACCACCCUGUGGUUGUGUGGCAAAUGGCAAUGAUUGAAUCUGAAUGUAGAUAGACCAUUAUUUGGCUGAGGUACUGCGUGCAUGUUCUCUUUUUCUAGGAUCCUUGAGGAAAACAUCUUAUUGAACUUUAAAACAAUGAAGGUGGAUAAUUCCACUGUGGACAGCAGUCAGCAGGCUCAACUACAUCGCAAACCACUGUCGUUUCUACUGGGAAUCCCACAAGGGCGGCGCAUGUGACAAAUACAAUUUGAUUUGAAAGUUAUCGCACCUCAUUCAGUUUUCACUUCUGACACAAAUUAACUAGGCUGAUGUAUAGAAGGUUACUGGCCGUCUGAAAUGUUUUAUUUGUUUGACUAGAGAAUUUUUCUGAGUGAGUCCUCAGUCCGUGGAUAGGUUACCUGUCCUCCUUCCCCUGAUGGCCCCAGAUGAGUGAUAGUGCUAGAUAGAUCUCCACCAUACCGCUUUGACCUACUGAGUACUUUAAAAUCAGAGAUGAUGCAAAUGAAAGUUGGAGAGGUGGCUGUUCCAGGAUUGCUGGUACAUGUCUUCCUUUGAAGUAGGUAGAAGUUGCCCAUAAUAACUGAUACUGGAUCAGAUAUCUUUGCAACAGCCUAUUGAUUAUGUUCAGGACUAGUUGGAGGCUGAUCUGAUCCUAGAUCUGUAGUUUGGGCCUGACUUCAUCAUACUUCCCUGUACCACCCAGGAGGGCACUAUAGACGAAGGCGAACUAUAGACGAACAGCGGACAGCUUCUGGCUGCAGAAACACUGGCUGUUGAUGUACUUCUUCAUCAUGACCCCGUGGAACUACACCACAGUCUCCACGCGCAGGGUCAGGCGCAGACCGGCUACCUAAUUACAACACCCCCCAAGACCACACUUCAGGACACCCCCAGAUGUGGGUGUGUUCAGCCUCCACUACUCCCCAGUCUGGAGCCUGAGCCAAGGGAACACCUUCUGCAUGCUGAAGGUUCCCCCUGGGACACUGGUUUACAGGACGGUCCAUGACCAGUUCUGCAGAACAAUGCCAGAGAGCCAUGCCCAGAUCAUCAGCCUGCAGCAGAAGCAACACAUGCAGGUGGAUCCUGGCACAGUCCUGCAGAGACACCUGUUCCAUGGAACCUCAGAGAGUGCUGUCAAGGCUUUCUCCGGACAGAACUUCAAACCGCGUGUGGCUUGACCCACUAGCCGUCACAGCCAUAGCAUUUACUUUGCCGUUUUGCCCAGCAAGCUCACCGCUACUCCGUCAGAGGGCCGAGACACUGGGUUCAUGUGGGUAAAACCUGAUUAGGAACGAUAGACUACGUCCGUCCCCCCUCGACUCCCCAACCAAACAAGCUCUGGACGGGAUCACUAUGACUCCUGUGUGAAUCGGAUGGAGAAUCCUACUGUUUUUGUUGUGUUUGACAGCAGUCAGUGCUACCCCUACUACCCCAUCAAGUACAAGGUCCUGGAAAACAAUGGCAGUACUGUGUGAUGGGCCCAGAAGCAGAACCAGGACUGUUCAGAAAAUAAUGAAUCAAUGCCUUCAGUAAGAGCAAAGUUCCUUGUCUCGGUAAAAGGCACUCUGUUGGUGAGGAAUAAAGAGAAAAAGCUAUAUAAUAAUUAAGCUGUUCAUGAGACUUGUUUACAAAGACCUGUUGAGAGGCUAACACCUGAGUUCCUUCAAUCGACUCUGUUAAGUUGUGUCUGUGUUCAAUGAGGAGUAAUACACUUCUGAGCCUUUCAGUUGUAUUUGUGCUCUUUUUCAGCAUAAACACUAUGGCUCUUCUGCACAGCAUACUAAUUAUGUAGGGUGUUAUGAUCUGAGAUUGUAUUUAAUUACUCUGGAAAUAUUGCUAAUACAUACCAUGGCCAGUAGAAAUGUAUAGGUUAUACAUGUAAUUGAAUAUGAAUUUAAGUUGUCGUAGGAAGAUGGAUAGAAAGAUUGUGGUCAAUUCAAUGUAGUCAACUUACCGUUUUGGAGAGUGAAUCAUUUAUUGCACUCAUCUGCCUCCGCAC